rnacentral:rRNA from 1 species
UACGAAGGGGGCUAGCGUUGUUCGGAAUCACUGGGCGUAAAGCGCACGCAGGCGGAUCGAUAAGUCGGGGGUGAAAGCCCGGGGCUCAACCUCGGAAAUGCCUUCGAUACUGUCGGUCUCGAGUGCGGGAGAGGUGAGUGGAAUUCCUAGUGUAGAGGUGAAAUUCGUAGAUAUUAGGAAGAACACCAGUGGCGAAAGCGGCUCACUGGCCCGGUACUGACGCUCAGGUGCGAAAGCGUGGGGAGCAAACAGG